GGGAAUGGCGCUAUGCUUCAGCGCCAUUUUUUGGGGGAAAAAUUCUAACUACUCCAAUGAACCCAAUGAACUUUACUCUUUGUUCAUCCUAGUUCUCUCUCCUAAAACCUUCGAUCACGUUAACUCUCUCUAAAAAAAAUCAAAAUCCUUCACCCCUCUCACAACCAAAUCCCUUGUUUCUUUCCCUUUCUUUCACCCGAUAUUUAAUUCUCCCCAAUUUGAAGACAAAAAUGUAAAUAUUUGAGAUCUGUCAGGCCCGAAGUGCAAUGGUGGAGCGACGGUGUUGAUUGGAAAUCGCUAACAAGUCUCAGGACUUGUUCUUCUACUUACAACAAUAUCUGAAGGAAGAUUACUACCAGGUUACUAACGCUCUUACACGUGUUGGCCUGGAAUCAUCAAAUCUUAUUGUUGGUAUUGAUUUCACCAAAAGCAAUGAGGGGACAGUUUCAAGUUUGUAGCGGCCAUCAUCUUCGAUUCCAUCUAGCGAGCACUGAUCGUUGAUUCCCUUUCCACUUGGAGCAAAUUAGAGUUGUUGAUAACCAAAAUUAUACAUUAAGUUUCUGCUACUCUUAGGUUACCAAUACAUUAAAGUUCGUGGCAGUUAUUUUCAAUUGGAUAGCACUUCUAUUUAUUGAUUAGUUGGGUUGCUAAUAUUUUGUCCAAGUUCUCUAUCUCAAAUUGAUAUUGGCUACAUUAUUGGACUAAUUUUGAAUUCCGUAGACUAGUAUUCUUUUGUGCCUACCAUCUGUUCGAUAGCUUGUGCCUUACAAUCUAGAAUUGAACUUUUGCUGUCUUUCCUUUUGAUAUCAUUCUGUUUUGAUACUUUUGGAUUAGUUCUUAUUACUCAACAGUCUAGAACACCUGGAUAUGUGAACAUUCUGUUUUGAUAUGCCUAGAACACUUGGAUUAGUUCUUACAUUCUGUUUUGAUACUUUUGAUCGCUUUAUUGUUGUAAUAUUCCAUGAGUGAUUUGUGUCUUCUAUUAAUCUCGUUGAAAUUAGUUUUCUUAUCUAAGUAAAUGUUUCAUGCAAAAAUCAGUAAUAGUUUAGGUAGAAUUAUCUUGUAGAUGCUAACGAAGCUUUUUUUUUUUUAUAAUUAGAAUCUAUGUGAACAUGGAUAAAAGAUGGAUGAGUAUGUCACGAUCAAGUGAUGAGUAUAAAGCUGGUUUAGAAGAUUUACUUGAUUUUGCAUUUACGAAUGGAAGUAUAAGGGAGAUGAUUUUAUGCCCAUGCAUUAGGUGUGGGAAUGGGGUAUUUGUCAGGAGAGAGCAGGCCAAAUCACACUUGAUAUGGAAAGGAUUUAUUAAGGGAUAUGCUCAAUGGUUAGCUCAUGGGUAGGAAUGAUGUGUUUGCAAAAGUAAUGGGGGAAGAAAGGGGUGGAAGAGUUCGUACAUAUGGUUUAGGAGUUACACAAGCUGAUUUGCGGGGUGAUAUACCAUGUCGUUCAAUAUGUUUUUGCUUGGUUAUGGAACAAAGCGCUGUGAUGUCAAAAAUGGAGCGAAGAAUUUAGCAACUAGAAUCAAUUCAACAAGGAAGAUCACAAGGACAAAGUUCACCAUCUCAGCAAAGAUCUACUUCACAGUCUUCAAAUGCUAUUCUUCGGCCGAUAAAGGUGAAUCUUGAAGAAAACUAAAGGAUCCUUGGGUGAUUUGGCUAUUUUUUGAAGACAUUGUCAAGGCAUUUUUUGUUGAACUCUUGUUGAACUAUUGUUUCUUUGAUAUGUAUUGGCAAUGCUACAGCAAUACUCAUAACUGUUGAAAAAUCUCUGAAUUAGCAUGUAAUUUGUUGACAUAGCACUAUGUAAGUUGCUUGGAUGAUGUACUUUUGCACCAGUUUGGCUGAUUGUAUUGCACUGAUUACUAUGAAAACGUAAAUCACUUUAGUUUUCCUU